UUUUAAUUUAAUUUUUGUUGUAACAAUUCUAUUGAAACAACCAUAAAUCACUCAAAUACUGUAUUGUGUGGAUAUAUGUUUUUAGGUAUCAUCUGUGGAUAGAGGUUUGCUGUACUUUUAAUGCUCUUUAGAAAGCCAGGUUGUCUAAAGAAGUGUAAUGUGCAUGAGAUGGAUGUUUAGCCAAAAUUGUAGUUCUCUGCAUACUUCCAUACAAAGCACUAGGUAAUUGUUCAGUGCUUAGUGACUAGGACUAUCCAGUACCAGGGUUUUCUGAAGCUUGCUUUGGAGCAUUGAACCAAAAAAGGAAUGGAGGAUGUUGAAUACAGUUGUUCUUCAGUGUAGGAGAAGCCAUGAGUUUGCUCCAUACUAACAUAAAACAUCUCUGGGAACUGAACAUAAGGAUAUAAAACUGUUAAAAUUUUUUGGUCCCUCAUCUUAUGUGUACUCGUUUCUGUUUUCACAUGUUUUACAGGAGUUAUUGAUAAACAGAAGGAGUUGUGCUGCGGUUCCAAAGAAUCAGAGAGCGUUUUAUUAAAAAAAAAUGAACAUUAUCAAUGCUGUGGGAACCAAAGUUUUGAUGCUCAAGAAAACUGUUGCAUUAGAAAGAGUGUUACCAUUCACCCAAAAAAUGAAACCCUUUGUCAAGAACAGCUGGUAAGCACUCCAUUUUGUGGAGUUACUCAUUUAGGACCACCUACACAUGGAUACUUAUCAGGAGUUCUCUUGCCUCUUUAGUGUUCUCAUUGUACUAAGUCAUGAAGGUUUACAAACCUAGAGGAUACUGUAUUUUAAAUUAUUUCCAUUCCAAAGCCAAAUUAAUUCUCAAUGUCCAUGUCCUGAAAAAUAUUCACUUUUACAAAAAUACAAAACUUGUGUAAAUUCCUAAAAUGCAUCAUUACGUUGUCUUGUAUUUUUCUUACAUGUAUUACUUUUAUAUUGCAACAUCUUACAAUUGACUCUUCAGCUGCCUUCUAAUUUGUCAAAGGCCAAUGAGAGCAAGAGGUAAGAUCACAUGACACCACACAUUUGUACCUAUGUGGUGAUUUUCUGAGCCAGCAUCUCUCCAGGCUUUAUGACCUGUGUCGUUGCAAUUUACCUUACAUAGAAGAAACUGAGUCAUUGCCAGCAUGGGGAAUGACUAGUAGUAGGAGGAAAAUGUAGAAGUCUGACCUUCAAUAAAACUGAAAUGAGUACCA
rnacentral:lncRNA from 1 species